rnacentral:rRNA from 1 species
AGGAAAAGAAACUAACCAGGAUUUCCUUAGUAGCGGCGAGCGAACAGGAAAGAGCCCAGCACCGAAUCCCGCGGUUCCGCCGCAGGGAAAUGUGGUGUUUGGGAGGAUCCGGUGAUCCCGAGGUGUCGCGUCGCGUCCAAGUCCAUCUUGAAUGGGGCCACUUACCCGCAGAGGGUGCCAGGCCCGUAGCGACCGGUGCGCGCACUCGGGAGGAUCUCUCCUUCGAGUCGGGUUGCUUGAGAGUGCAGCUCUAAGCGGGUGGUAAACUCCAUCUAAGGCUAAAUACGACCACGAGACCGAUAGCGAACAAGUACCGUGAGGGAAAGUUGAAAAGAACUUUGAAGAGAGAGUUCAAGAGUACGUGAAACCGUUCAGGGGUAAACCUAAGAAACCCAAAAGAUCGAACGGGGAGAUUCAUCGUCAGCGGCGCCGGCUUCGCGUCGGUGGGCGAUGUUCCGCGCGCGGGCCUUAACGGGUUCCUCGUUGUCGCGGACACGCUACCGCGCGUCGAUGUCCGGCGCUCGUCGUCGUGCACUUCUCCCCUAGUAGGACGUCGCGACCCGCUGGGUGUCGGUCUACGGCCCGGGUGCGUUGGCUGUCGCGUCGCCGGUAAAACGGCACGCGGCAAACCCCUGGAGAGCCCGGCCGGCUGCCCGGCGGUACACGCAUGGUAUCAGGCCGCACCGCGCGCUUCUAGCGCGUUCGCGUGUGCGUCGAGGCCGUCGCAAGCGCGUGCCCCGAGGUACUCAGAGGUUUCACGGGACCUAUACGCCGUCCUCGGUCCUCGGCCCGCUGUUGGUCGUACGGAUACACGGGUGCGUCGCGGGCUAGGUCGUGUCAGGGGGGGGUAACAGCCCUCCGACUGACCGCGCCUCUUCGCGCUCUCCUUCGACAGGCCUGCGAACAUUACGUAGUCAUACCGGUCGGCGACGCUACUGCUUUGGGUACUCUUAGGACCCGUCUUGAAACACGGACCAAGGAGUCUAACAUGUACGCGAGUCAUUGGACUAAAAGCGAGACCUAAAGGCGCAAUGAAAGUGAAGGUCGGCCCUGGUCGUCGACCGAGGGAGGAUGGGCCGCGUCGCGACGCGGCUCCGCACUCCCGGGGCGUCUCGUUCUCAUCGCGAGAAGAGGCGCACCCAGAGCGUACACGUUGGGACCCGAAAGAUGGUGAACUAUGCCUGGUCAGGACGAAGUCAGGGGAAACCCUGAUGGAGGUCCGUAGCGAUUCUGACGUGCAAAUCGAUCGUCGGAACUGGGUAUAGGGGCGAAAGACUAAUCGAACCAUC